AGCUCCAAUAGCGUAUAUUAAAGUUGUUGCAGUUAAAAAGCUCGUAGUUGGACCUUAGGCAAGGCGGCCUGGUCACCCUCUGGGUGUACUGGGAUCGCUGCGCCUCACCUUCGGGGAGCUAGUCGUGCUUCGGUGCGCUAGGGAACCGAGCCUUACCUUGAGGAAAUUAGAGUGUUUAAAGCAGGCUUAUGCUUGAAUACGUUAGCAUGGAAUAACAUGAUAGGACUUUGGUUCUAUUUUGUUGGUUUGAGGACCAAAGUAAUGAUUAAUAGGGACAGUUGGGGGCAUUAGUAUUCAAUAGUCAGAGGUGAAAUUCUUGGAUUUAUUGAAGACUAACUAAUGCGAAAGCAUUUGCCAAGGAUGUUUUCA
rnacentral:rRNA from 1 species